rnacentral:rRNA from 1 species
UACGUAGGGGGCAAGCGUUAUCCGGAUUUACUGGGUGUAAAGGGAGCGUAGACGGCAAUGCAAGUCUGGAGUGAAAGGCGGGGGCCCAACCCCCGGACUGCUCUGGAAACUGUAUAGCUGGAGUGCAGGAGAGGUAAGUGGAAUUCCUAGUGUAGCGGUGAAAUGCGUAGAUAUUAGGAGGAACACCAGUGGCGAAGGCGGCUUACUGGACUGUAACUGACGUUGAGGCUCGAAAGCGUGGGGAUCAAACAGG